AUUGAACGCUGGCGGCAGGCCUAACACAUGCAAGUCGAACGGUAACAGGGAUCAGCUUGCUGAUUCGCUGACGAGUGGCGGACGGGUGAGUAAUGUCUGGGAAACUGCCUGAUGGAGGGGGAUAACUACUGGAAACGGUAGCUAAUACCGCAUAACGUCGCAAGACCAAAGAGGGGGACCUUCGGGCCUCUUGCCAUCGGAUGUGCCCAGAUGGGAUUAGCUAGUAGGUGGGGUAACGGCUCACCUAGGCGACGAUCCCUAGCUGGUCUGAGAGGAUGACCAGCCACACUGGAACUGAGACACGGUCCAGACUCCUACGAGAGGCAGCAGUGGGGAAUAUUGCACAAUUGGCGCAAGCCUGAUGCAGCCAUGCCGCGUGUAUGAAGAAGGCCUUCGGGUUGUAAAGUACUUUCAGCGGGGAGGAAGGGAGUAAAGUUAAUACCUUUGCUCAUUGACGUUACCCGCAGAAGAAGCACCGGCUAACUCCGUG
rnacentral:rRNA from 1 species